rnacentral:lncRNA from 1 species
GAGUGGCCCAAGAAAUGGCAAAAAGACAAAAAGAAAAAAAAAAAAAGAAUUGUGGCCAGAGAGUUCCUGUUGUGUCUCAGUCAGUUAAAAACCCGACAUGGUAUCUGUGAGGAUACAGGCUUGAUCCCUGGCCCCACUCAGUGGGUUAAGGAUCCUGCGUUGCCACAAAUUGCAGUGCAGGUCCCAGAUGCGGUUCAGAUUCUGCAUUGCUGUUGCUUUAGCUGUGGCUGUGGUGUAGGCCAGCAGCUAUAGCUCCGAUUCAACCCCUAGCCUGGGAACUACCAUAUGCUGGACGUGUGGCCCUAAAAAAACCCAGAAAGAAUCAUGGCCAGAAGACAGCUGUGGGGAACGCGCCAUGGCUCAGAUGCCAAGCUAGGAACUUUCUGUUAGUUUCCAUGGUGCUUUUUUCUUUUUUUUUUUUUUUUUUUUUUUUUUUUUUUUUGUCUUUUUGCUAUUUCUUGGGGCGCUCCCGCGGCAUAUGGAUUUCCCAGGCUAGGGGUCUAAUCAGAGCUAUAGCUCUGGCCUACGCCACAGCCACAGCAACGUUGGAUCCGAGCCGCAUCUGUGACCUACACCAUAGCUCAUGGCAACACCAGAUCCUUAACCCACUCAGUGAGGCCAGGGAUCGAACCCACAUCCUCAUGGAUGCUACAGUCAGGACAGCUAACUGCUGAGCCAUGAUGGGAAUUCUAUCCAUACACAAAAUGUGGCCCUGCAAUGACAGGGGCUCCUGGCAAUGGUGACCACCCUCCGAGGAGGGAUCCCUAGGCCCCAGAAUGGGCUCUCCUGCUGCCCUGACGGGAGGGGUAAAUUGAAGACUACCCACAUCCCUCCGAAGCCCUCUGUUCAAGGAACAGACAAGGACCAGGCGGGCCUUCCAGGGAGGCCCUGAGAGCGGAAACCUAGCUUCCCUGGCUUAGCCUAAGGCACUGCUUCUGGAAGGCUGCCAUUCAGGCAACCAAAGCUGAUGUGACAUUUGUUUAAUUUGCAGAAAAACUCUUUACUUUUUUUUUUUUAAAAGGCAGAGGGAGAGAAAAGCCACCCUCAUAAAACCUUUUACUCUCUUACUCUAAUGGGACACAUAAAGGCUGACGAUGCAGGAAGUCGGCUGCACUGAGAAGCCCGCAGGCUGCGAGGGGAGGGUGCCCGGCGCACAGGGGUGACAAGGGCGGCCUCCGGAUGCUCUUCCUCUGGAGGCAGAUGAUUCAGCCUUCAGUGGUGCAGCCUUCGGGCCCCCACGCUGGGGUCUCCCUUCCCCCUUUCUCCUCACACCUUGACAACUGGAGCAACCAGUUCACUUCCACCUGAACCAGAGCUGCCAGCCCCCAUCCCCGUCCUGGAACCUUCGGCCAGGGAGCAUCAGCCAUGGCAGCGUGGUCAAGGGACGAGCUCCCUUCUGGAGCUUGUCUUCUGUGCCAGGCGCUGUGCUAGGUGCUCAAGCCAAUGCAGGAAAGAAUAAGACCAAGACCAGCCAAUAAUAUUAACCAGUCCUGGCUGCAAAAGGCCCUUUGCCUCUCAUGUUCAGGUCCCAGGCUUUGGGGCCUGGCUAUGAAGGAUUUGCUCCUGGAGUGACUCAGCUGACAAAACUGAGCUGGAGAAAAGCUCACAGGGGCUGACACCUCCUACAGCCCUGCCCUCUCCCUGUAGGAAGGUUUCAGGGAAACCUUAAACAGAGGCCUGAGGGCCUAAUAGAACCCAAGGCAGGCUGCCUUGAAACUGGUUUCCACAAACCUCUGAUUAUAGCAGUUUCUACUCAGAAAACAGGUCACCGUGGCCUUGGAAGCACAGGAGAAAGGCUGCAGGGCUGGGCAGAUAAAAUCUGAGAUGAAGCGGUCAAGGUAUAUAGAGACUCAAUCCCUGCAUGGAUUCUUCUGAACCUCUCCCUCCUUCAAAGAGCCUAAAAUUCUCUGGUCUGCAUUUCCCAGAUCUUGGAGGGGAACCACGUAAAGUUCAGAGGAGAAAGGAGAGCAUGCUGUGAGCCCUAGAGAAGGGAGGAGGCAGGGGGUACAGAGCUGCCCUCCCCCUCCCCCUCUUCCUCCUGCAGCUACAAGCCAUGGAGCAGGCACGGACCCCACCACCAAGUCCACACAUGCACUUCCAGGCAAUUUGAACCAUCUGGGGCAGAGGAAUCAAAAUAAUGAACGAUAAUGACUGGUCAUGAGAACGUGGAUAAAUUACAAAAGGGAGGUUUUGCUUUCUCAUUCUCUGCAUGGUAAAAAGCACACAACAACCAAAUGAAACAUCUGUGUGGAAAGAGCCUUGGUGACAUCCUGUCCAGAUGGAGAGGAUCAGUAAGUCCCUUCUCCAACCUUUAGUGGACAGGAGCAGGAAUGGCUAAGCAGGCUGUUGAGAACACCACCCUUGGCAGAAAAUUGCAAAACCACUGCAAAAGCUUGCCAGCUCCGGAUGCGGCCCAUCGCCAUGGUGCUUCCCAGCCCCUCCCAGAGUCUACACUCCAGCCCUUGAAUCUGGCCUUGGACAUGUGGCUUCCUUGGCCAAGUGGACAUGAGCAGACAUGAAGUAAUAACAGAGGCUCUAAAGGUGCUUGUACAUUGGAGCCUCCCCCUCUUCUGCUGCAAGGAACCUUCCACCUCCACAUGAACAAGUAUGGACAGAGUUAAAACCAGCAAAGUUAUUUUCUUUCUUUCUUUUUUGCUUUUUAGGGCCAUACCCACAGCAUAUGGAAGUUCCAGGCUAGGGGGCGAAUCGGAGUUGCAGCUGCCAGCCACAGCCUGGAUCUGAGCCAUGUCUGCAACCUACACCACAGCUUGUGGCAAUGCCGGGUCCUUAACCCACUAAGCGGGGCCAGGGAUCGAACCCGCAUCCUCACGGGUACUAGUCGGGUUCAUAACCCACUGAGCCACAGUG